GGGAAUCUGCCCUUCGGUUGGGAAUAACUGAGAGAAAUUUCAGCUAAUACCUUAUAAUGUCUUCGGACCAAAGAUUUAUCGCCGAGGGAUGAGCCCGCGUAGGAUUAGCUAGUUGGUGGGGUAAUGGCCUACCAAGGCGACGAUCCUUAGCUGGUCUGAGAGGAUGAUCAGCCACACUGGGACUGAGACACGGCCCAGACUCCUACGGGAGGCAGCAGUGGGGAAUAUUGGACAAUGGGCGAAAGCCUGAUCCAGCAAUGCCGCGUGAGUGAUGAAGGCCUUAGGGUUGUAAAGCUCUUUUACCCGGGAUGAUAAUGACAGUACCGGGAGAAUAAGCUCCGGCUAACUCCGUGCCAGCAGCCGCGGUAAUACGGAGGGAGCUAGCGUUGCUCGGAAUUACUGGGCGUAAAGCGCGCGUAGGCGGUUUCUCAAGUCAGAGGUGAAAGCCCGGGGCUCAACCCCGGAACUGCCUUUGAAACUAGGAGACUAGAAUCUUGGAGAGGUCAGUGGAAUUCCGAGU
rnacentral:rRNA from 1 species